AGUGAACGCUGGCGGCGUGCCUAAUACAUGCAAGUCGAACGGAGUGGCGCACGGGUGAGUAAUAUAUAGCUAAUCCGCCCCUUGCUGGAGGACAACAGUUAGAAAUGACUGCUAAUACUCGAUAGCAAGGGAUGAGACUAUAUCGUAUCAGCUAGGCGGUGGGGUAACGGCCUACCGAGGCGAUGACGCGUAACUGGUCUGAGAGGAUGAUCAGUCACAUUGGAAGUGAGGCACUAGCCGAACUCCUACGAGAAGGAGCAGUAGGGAAAUAUACGCAAGGGGGGAAACCCUGAAGGAGCAUCGCCGCGUAGAGGAUGACACGUGUCGAAGCAUGAACUCAUUUUAUUAGGGAAGCGGUACCUAACGAAUAAGCACCGGCUAACUCCGUGCCAGCAGCCGCGGUAAUUC
rnacentral:rRNA from 1 species